CUCUUUUCCUGUGGAGCGGUGGCGGCGGCGGUAAGGGGUCGGCAGGGCGGAUGAGCGCGGCGCUGUGCGAGUAGAGCUGAGGGGCACCUGAGCUUGUUGGUUCGCUCUUGGACGUCCGGGGGGCACCGCGUCGCGAUGCCGCGUGUUUGUUUGAAGCUGGAGCAAGCGUUUCCACACUUCUGUCUGAUGAAAGUAUGGAAUGUGUAAUGUGCCAGAGAUUGUUGUCUUUGUAUGGCUUUUGAAUGGAACAAAACAGAAAAAUAGUUGCAGGACAUUGCGUUUUCAUGGUCACCUUCAAACUCCCAUCAUGGAAGCACCAUUGGAACUAGAGGAGUAUUUGGUACACACAAGUGGAUUUUCCUGAAAGCUGUGAUGGUGUAUGAACAGUUUUUAAUAAUGGAAAAAAAGUUGAACAUUGUGAUGAAAGAUGUCCUGGCAACUGUACUACAACAGAUAGAGGGAUGCUUGAAGGCUGCUUCUUGAAGGUAUGACUUCAAUAAUGAUAGAAUCAAAUUGUAGAAAUGCAUGUCUGACUUGGGAUUAUAUUAUUGUGCCAUGGAAAAUGGUCACAACUGUACAGACAAAUGCUUUAAUUUGUUCAGUGAGUUGGAACGUUUUUGUCAGUGCUGCUUGACAAAUGUGGAUGAUCUGUAACUGGAAGAAAGUGUAACACCUGAAGAGAUGUUCUCGCUUGGAGUGGGACCAUGCUUUUAAAAUCCUGCUGAAACAGUUGUUGAAAUUGUUUAGCAGAUACCGUUAUCAAAAACUGCACGUGAACCAAAAUUACUGUCUCUGCAUACUUAAAAUAAUGCUUCUCUCAAAACAUCAAACUGCCCCCUUUGGGAAGGAUAACAGUAGCAGUAGGGAAAUGAGUGGUGAGCUUCAAUAUAUGAAAAAGAAACAGACUAUUGGCCCUUAGGAAAUGUAAGGGUAUGCAGACUUUGAUACUGAGCAUCUGUAAUAACUCAAAACAAUGGAAGUUGCAGGUAGGCCAUGCAGCAUUGAUACAUAAAUUCAAACUACUGAGUGCUCCUUGAUGAUGUCAUGUGGGAGAUUGAAGGAGGUAGAUGAGGUGGUGUGGAAGCAUCAACAUGAAGCACCUGUAGAAAGAAACGCUUGAAAUUUCAGGUGGCGUGAGGAAGUUGUGGUUACAGAAAAAGCAUAGACUAAAGCUUUCAUUUUCUUCUGCAUCUAGAUGGGGAGAGAAGGAAAAGGGAGUUUUCAUGAGCUGCCAAUUUAGCAUGGAAAGACCAGUAUCGGAACUGGAACUGUGCCCACUGAAGAAGACAUUGGCAGUGUUAUCUGUUCCCAGUGUGGGAGGAAAAGGAAUAGAAACAUUGGAAGUUUUGCUUGCCAGCAGUCACUAACCACACAGUAACAUCUUAACAUUGUAUUUGUUGUAUUAAGCAGAUCAUCUCUCUUCCACUGAGGAAGAGAGGGAUUGUAAAUUGGUUUUCUGAGUAAGUUGCCUUUAAAGACAAAUUAUGCACGGAAGAUGCAAUCCACCUUAAGGUGUGGCUCUUGUACUGCCUUCUCAGGAAUGCUUUAUAAAGGAGGGAAUGUGACAACUGCGUGGUAGCCAAUGAUCAGUAGUGCUGUGGUUACUGAAUGAUUUUGGAAUGUACCGAAAUAAGGAAACAGCCCUGUAGUCUGCAGCCAAAAAUGACAGCAUUGGAUGCUAGCAGUUAACUUUCUCUAGGGAUCUGAAAGAACUUAAUGAAAUGCACUUAUUUCUAAACACCAAAUACUUGAAAGGCCCAUUUUCCUACCAGUGCAGCACCGCAGAAGUGCAGAACACUAAGUAGCAGCAUCUGAAGCAUUGGGAAGAUCAGAAAUAAAGUGCCUGACUACAAAGCCAUACAGUAAUGAUGUGACUGAACUCCAGGAGUGACUUGGCUUACUGCAUAACCUCUGCUUUGGUUUUUCAGUAAUAACCAGCUGCUUUGGCUGGUCAGAGGCUGCUUCUCAGUGAGUUAACUAUGUAAAUCAGUCUAUUGAAUGUAUCAUCAGAAGCUGCAGAAUUUUACUACAGAAAACCUUCCCUUGGUGGCUUUAAUCAGGAUUUAUUACAUGUUAAUGUUGCUGAGAAGGGUAGGUAUUUGCUAUGUUUUGUACAUGCUCUUUCUUGAAUAAAGACGAGGAUGUGGAAAACUU
ensembl:lncRNA